GGUAGUGACGAAAAAUAACAAUGCAGGACUCGUUCGAGGCCCUGUAAUUGGAAUGAGUACACUUUAAAAGCUUUAACGAGUAUCCAUUGGAGGGCAAGUCUGGUGCCAGCAGCCGCGGUAAUUCCAGCUCCAAAAGUAUAUAUUUAAGUUGUUGCGGUUAAAAAGCUCGUAGUUGGAUUUUGGGCGCAGGCGGCCGGUCCGUCGCAAGGCGUGUACUGGACGUCCUGGCCUUCCCUCCGGUUCUCCGCCGGUGCUCUUGACUGAGUGUCGGCGGCGGCCGGAACGUUUACUUUGAAAAAAUUAGAGUGUUCAAAGCAGGCUCUCGAGCCUGGAUAAUGGUGCAUGGAAUAAUGGAAUAGGACCUCGGUUCUAUUUUGUUGGUUUUCGGAGCGCGAGGUAAUGAUUAAGAGGGACAGACGGGGGCAUUCGUACUGUGCCGUUAGAGGUGAAAUUCUUGGAUCGGCGCAAGACGAACGACUGCGAAAGCAUUUGCCAAGAAUGUUUUCUUUAAUCAAGAGCGAAAGUCAGAGGUUCGAAGACGAUCAGAUACCGUCCUAGUUCUGACUAUAAACGAUGCCAAUUAGCGAUCGGGGGGGCGUUACAUUGACUACCCCUUCGGCAGCUUACGGGAAACCAAAGCCUUUGGGUUCCGGUGGGACGUAUGGUUGCAAAGCUGAAGCUUAAAGGAAUUGACGGAAGGGCACCCCUGCAAGUGGAGCCUGCGGCUUAA
rnacentral:ncRNA from 1 species